AUAUUGGACAAUGGGUGAAAGCCUGAUCCAGCCAUCCCGCGUGAAGGAUGACGGUCCNNNGGAUUNUCAACUUCUUUUGUACANGACNAAACCUACUCUCGUGAGAGUAGCUGAAGGUACUGUACGAAUAAGCACCGGCUAACUCCGUGCCAGCAGCCGCGGUAAUACGGAGGGUGCAAGCGUUAUCCGGAUUUAUUGGGUUUAAAGGGUCCGUAGGCGGACCCGUAAGUCAGUGGUGAAAUCUCAUAGCUUAACUAUGAAACUGCCAUUGAUACUGCGGGUCUUGAGUAAAUUUGAAGUGGCUGGAAUAAGUAGUGUAGCGGUGAAAUGCAUAGAUAUUACUUAGAACACCAAUUGCGAAGGCAGGUCACUAAGAUUUAACUGACGCUGAUGGACGAAAGCGUGGGGAGCAAACA
rnacentral:rRNA from 1 species